ACGCCAGACUCCUACGGGAGGCAGCAGUGGGGAAUUUUGCGCAAUGGGGGAAACCCUGACGCAGCAACGCCGCGUGCGGGACGAAGGCCCUCGGGUCGUAAACCGCUUUCAGCAGGGAAGACCACGACGGUACCUGCAGAAGAAGCUCCGGCUAACUACGUGCCAGCAGCCGCGGUAAUACGGAGGAUGCGAGCGUUAUCCGGAUUUAUUGGGUUUAAAGGGUGCGCAGGCGGCACGGCAAGCCGGCGGUCAAAUCGCGGGGCUCAACCCCGCCCAGCCGUCGGAACUGCCGGGCUAGAGUGGGCGAGAAGUGCGCGGAAUGCGUGGUGUAGCGGUGAAAUGCAUAGAUAUCACGCAGAACUCCGAUUGCGAAGGCAGCGCACCGGCGCCCUACUGACGCUCAGGCACGAAAGCGUGGGUAUCGAACAGGAUUAGAUACCCCCGUACG
rnacentral:rRNA from 1 species